UGGGGAAUAUUGCGCAAUGGGGGAAACCCUGACGCAGCGACGCCGCGUGUGGGAUGAAGGUCUUCGGAUUGUAAACCACUGUCGCGAGGGACGAAGCUCUGACGGUACCUCGAAAGGAAGCACCGGCUAACUCUGUGCCAGCAGCCGCGGUAAUACAGAGGGUGCGAGCGUUGUCCGGAAUCACUGGGCGUAAAGGGCGCGUAGGCGGCCCGGUAAGUAGGGGGUGAAAUCUCAUGGCUCAACUGUGAGGCUGCCUUCUAGACUGCCAGGCUUGAGCACAGUAGAGGCGAGUGGAAUUCCCGGUGUAGCGGUGGAAUGCGUAGAGAUCGGGAAGAACAUCGGUGGCGAAGGCGGCUCGCUGGGCUGUUGCUGACGCUGAGGCGCGAAAGCGUGGGGAGCAAACAGGAUUAGAUACCCUGGUAGUCCCUGAGCGGGCUGGCAAGGCGCAU
rnacentral:rRNA from 1 species